GGGGAUGUCUGGUUUCGACAGGGUCGUCCGUCAGGUAAUUGCAUGCCGAGGUGCCCGAGGCCUCGUAAAAACGGGCAAAAACUGUAACUGGCACACAGCCUUUUGCACUCGCCGCCUAAGUCACUGACCUCUAGGUAGCGCGUCCAUCCGGACCUCCCCCUUCCGGGACCGGGGUUGGGCGUCACCAAGGAAGGGUGCGGUGGUCUAGUUCGCCGGAGCGCGACCGCCCAAGAUAGUCCGGCUUACCGGAAUCGGACCCUGUCGGUGGGGGACGAUACCGGCACACAAAUCACCGACUAAGCAUGUAGUAGAUUGCCGGCUCGCGGUUCUGGACGGGGGUUCGAUUCCCCCCAUCUCCACCA
rnacentral:tmRNA from 1 species